UGGGGAAUAUUGCACAAUGGGCGCAAGCCUGAUGCAGCCAUGCCGCGUGUAUGAAGAAGGCCUUCGGGUUGUAAAGUACUUUCAGUCGGGAGGAAGGUGGUAAGGUUAAUAACCUUGGCAAUUGACGUUACCGACAGAAGAAGCACCGGCUAACUCCGUGCCAGCAGCCGCGGUAAUACGGAGGGUGCAAGCGUUAAUCGGAAUUACUGGGCGUAAAGCGCACGCAGGCGGUUGAUUGAGUCAGAUGUGAAAUCCCCGGGCUUAACCCGGGAAUUGCAUCUGAUACUGGUCAGCUAGAGUCUUGUAGAGGAGGGUAGAAUUCCAUGUGUAGCGGUGAAAUGCGUAGAGAUGUGGAGGAAUACCGGUGGCGAAGGCGGCCCCCUGGACAAAGACUGACGCUCAGGUGCGAAAGCGUGGGGAGCAAACAGG
rnacentral:rRNA from 1 species